rnacentral:rRNA from 1 species
CCCCGUAGAUGAACGCUGGCGGCAGGCCUAACACAUGCAAGUCGAGCGGCAGCGGAAAGUAGCUUGCUACUUUGCCGGCGAGCGGCGGACGGGUGAGUAAUGUCUGGGGAUCUGCCCGAUGGAGGGGGAUAACUACUGGAAACGGUAGCUAAUACCGCAUAACGUCGCAAGACCAAAGUGGGGGACCUUCGGGCCUCACACCAUCGGAUGAACCCAGAUGGGAUUAGCUAGUAGGUGGGGUAACGGCUCACCUAGGCGACGAUCCCUAGCUGGUCUGAGAGGAUGACCAGCCACACUGGAACUGAGACACGGUCCAGACUCCUACGGGAGGCAGCAGUGGGGAAUAUUGCACAAUGGGCGCAAGCCUGAUGCAGCCAUGCCGCGUGUGUGAAGAAGGCCUUCGGGUUGUAAAGCACUUUCAGCGGGGAGGAAGGAGUGAGUGUUAAUAGCACUCAUUAUUGACGUUACCCGCAGAAGAAGCACCGGCUAACUCCGUGCCAGCAGCCGCGGUAAUACGGAGGGUGCGAGCGUUAAUCGGAAUUACUGGGCGUAAAGCGUACGCAGGCGGUUUGUUAAGUCAGAUGUGAAAUCCCCGAGCUUAACUCGGGAACUGCAUUUGAAACUGGCAGGCUAGAGUCUCGUAGAGGGGGGUAGAAUUCCAGGUGUAGCGGUGAAAUGCGUAGAGAUCUGGAGGAAUACCGGUGGCGAAGGCGGCCCCCUGGACGAAGACUGACGCUCAGGUACGAAAGCGUGGGGAGCAAACAGGAUUAGAUACCCUGGUAGUCCACGCUGUAAACGAUGUCGAUUUGAAGGUUGUGGCCUUGAGCCGUGGCUUUCGGAGCUAACGCGUUAAAUCGACCGUCCUA